rnacentral:rRNA from 1 species
GACGAACGCUGGCGGCGUGCCUAACACAUGCAAGUCGAGCGAAAAGGCCAGCUUGUGGCGUAUUCGAGUGGCGCACCGGAGGGUAAAACAAGACUAACCUACCCUAGACUUUGGGAUAACUUCAGGUAACGGGAGCUAAUCCCGUAUCGGAUAUCCUGCUGCAUGGCGGGGGUUGGAAGGGAUCGGCGGUUGGGGAUGGACUCAUGGCUUAUCCGCCUGUUGGUGGGGUAGUUGCUCACCAAGGCGUUGACGGGUAGCCGGCCUGAGAGGGUGACCGGCCACAAUGGUACUGAGAUACGGCCCAGACUCCUACGGGAGGCAGCAGUGGGGAGUAUUGCAGAAUGGGCGGAAGCCUGAUGCAGCAACGCCGCGUGCGGGAUGACGGGCUUCGGGUUGUAAACCGCUGUCGCAGGUGACGAAGCGUGAGUGACGGUAAUGGGUAAGGAAGCACCGGCUAACUACGUG